rnacentral:rRNA from 1 species
GUCAAGCUACAAAGGGCUCACGGUGGAUACCUUGGCACACAGAGCGAUGACGACGUGAUACUGCGAAAGUCUCGGGGGAGCUGAACCCGCUUGAUCCGGAUUC